rnacentral:misc_RNA from 1 species
GAAAUGCGAUAAGUAGUGUGAAUUGCAGAAUUCAGUGAAUCAUCGAAUCUUUGAACGCACAUUGCGCCCCUUGGUAUUCCAUGGGGCAUGCCUGUUCGAGCGUCAUCUACACCCUCAAGCUCUGCUUGGUGUUGGGCGUCUUUGUCCCGCCUCCGCGCGCGGACUCACCCCAAAUUCAUUGGCAGCGGUCCUUGCCUCCUCUCGCGCAGCACAUUGCGCUUGUCGAGGUGUUGCGGCCCGCGUCCAGAAAGCAAUCGUUACCGUCUUUGACCUCGGAUCAGGUAGGGAUACCCGCUGAACUUAAGC